ensembl:snRNA U6 U6 spliceosomal RNA
GUGUUCGCUUCAGCAGCACAUAUACUACAACUGAAAUGAUACGGAGAAGAUUAGCAUGGCCCCUGCACAAAGAUGAUACGCAAAUUCAUGAAGUGUUCCAUAUUUUU